rnacentral:rRNA from 1 species
GAUGAACGCUGGCGGCGUGCCUAACACAUUCAAGUCGAACGGUGACGGGGGCUUCGGUCCCCUGAUCAGUGGCGGACGGGUGAGUAACGCGUGAGCAACCUGCCUUUCAGUGGGGGAUAACACAGGGAAACUUGUGCUAAUACCGCAUAACGCAUUUUGGAGGCAUCUCCGGAAUGCCAAAGAUUUAUUGCUGAAAGAUGGGCUCGCGUCCGAUUAGAUAGUUGGUGAGGUAACGGCUCACCAAGUCAACGAUCGGUAGCCGGACUGAGAGGUUGAACGGCCACAUUGGAACUGAGAUACGGUCCAGACUCCUACGGGAGGCAGCAGUGGGGAAUAUUGGGCAAUGGGCGAAAGCCUGACCCAGCGACGCCGCGUGAGGGAAGAAGGUCUUCGGAUUGUAAACCUUUGUUGACAGGGAAGAACAAAUGACGUAACCUGUCGAGGAAGCCACGGCUAACUACGUGCCAGCAGCCGCGGU